GACGAACGCUGGCGGCGUGCUUAACACAUGCAAGUCGAACGGAAAGGCCCUGCUUUUGUGGGGUGCUCGAGUGGCGAACGUGUGAGUAACACGUGAGUAACCUGCCCUUGACUUUGGGAUAACUUCAGGAAACUGGGGCUAAUACCGGAUAGGAGCUCCUGCUGCAUGGUGGGGGUUGGAAAGUUUCGGCGGUUGGGGAUGGACUCGCGGCUUAUCAGCUUGUUGGUGGGGUAGUGGCUUACCAAGGCUUUGACGGGUAGCCGGCCUGAGAGGGUGACCGGCCACAUUGGGACUGAGAUACGGCCCAGACUCCUACGGGAGGCAGCAGUGGGGAAUAUUGCACAAUGGGCGGAAGCCUGAUGCAGCAACGCCGCGUGCGGGAUGACGGCCUUCGGGCUGUAAACCGCUUUCGCCUGUGACGAAGCGUGAGUGACGGUAAUGGGUAAAGAAGCACCGGCUAACUACGUG
rnacentral:rRNA from 1 species